rnacentral:rRNA from 1 species
ACAGACAGCCAGGAUGUUGGCUUAGAAGCAGCCAUCAUUUAAAGAAAGCGUAAUAGCUCACUGGUCGAGUCGGCCUGCGCGGAAGAUGUAACGGGGCUAAACCAUGCACCGAAGCUGCGGCAGCGACACUAUGUGUUGUUGGGUAGGGGAGCGUUCUGUAAGCCGUUGAAGGUGGCCUGUGAGGGUUGCUGGAGGUAUCAGAAGUGCGAAUGCUGACAUAAGUAACGAUAAAGCGGGUGAAAAGCCCGCUCGCCGGAAGACCAAGGGUUCCUGUCCAACGUUAAUCGGGGCAGGGUGAGUCGACCCCUAAGGCGAGGCCGAAAGGCGUAGUCGAUGGGAAACAGGUUAAUAUUCCUGUACUUGGUGUUACUGCGAAGGGGGGACGGAGAAGGCUAUGUCAGCCGGGCGACGGUUGUCCCGGUUUAAGCAUGUAGGCGGAGGUUCCAGGUAAAUCCGGUACCUUGUUAACGCUGAGGUGUGAUGACGAGGCACUACGGUGCUGAAGUGAUAAAUGCCCUGCUUCCAGGAAAAGCCUCUAAGCAUCAGGUAACACGAAAUCGUACCCCAAACCGACACAGGUGGUCAGGUAGA